AAGCAUCAAGAGGCCAAAAUGCAUCUUCACAUAAAUUUAAAAGUUUAACCACAAUAUUGCCCUUAAUGCAAAAGUUUAACCACAAUAACGCCCGUAAUGCAACUUGAUCUCACAUGAUGCAUAUGUACUAUAAAAGGAGCAUGAUAUUAAUGGUUAGAAAACUGUCAAGAAGAUAUAAUAUAAACAUCCAUACAAGGCAUUUGCACCACUAAGGUAAGCAAAUAAAAUGUAUAAUGACCACUCCCAGCCCCUUAAGAUCUGUAAACUUCAUCUUUCAGUUUAAAUUUUCCUCCAGAUUCUCUAGAGGACCAAGAAAAGAGAUGCUCAAACAGGUAGUCAAUUUAAGUUAAGACUCUUAUUAAAAUAACAACAGCUUAAAAGUGAUUGCAUGGGCAUCCUGGGAUUACUAAAAAUGAAACUGCCUCAUGCAUGGUGGAUGCUGAAGCAUUGAUGUACAACUAGUGAAGCUAAAGCAAAUCAAGAGAAAACAUUUUAUAUUUGAUAUCAUAAAAAAUUGUUCCUAGAUCCUUUAACACAAAAUAAUAUUUUAAACCAAAUAACACAUUGCUGUCUCAUCAAUGGCUGAAACCAAACCCUUUUCUGAAACUGGCAAACUUUUUGUACAAUUGUGUGUCUCCAUUACUUUGGCUAAAAUAGCUCAUGCUGAUCACCAAUUUCUAUAUAUGACCUUGUUAUGAGAUAAUGCAUUCACUACAGAUUGGGCAGAUUUCAAGUGAUUAAAGGUCCCUGAACUCAAUCAUUGAGCAUACAAAAUAUUGUAAAUAAUGAAAAAAUUAAGGAAAUGGGGAAGGUAACAUAUUGAUAUUGCUUAUAACAGGUAGUGCAGUACUUCUUUACAUUUGAGAAUGGGAGAGCAUGUCUAAAACAAGAUAAUGGCAGAAUCUAGUAAAUCCAACUUGCCAUUAUUUAUAACAAUGAGAGA
rnacentral:misc_RNA from 1 species